GACUGUGUUGAAUGUAGCUAUAGGCAAAGAGUUCAAGUACACGAAGUCUUGCUUUAUUAUAGACCUCUCUUUACCUGCCACCGGAUAAAUGAAAACUUAGUUGCCAUGGCUAAAAAAUGAAAGAAGCAAUCUCCGAAAUGAAGAACUUCGCUGAAAAAUAUGCAUUGAGGAAAAAAAAUUCGGCAGAUUUAACAAUGCUAUAAACGUGUGUGGAAAAAGAAAUUUGAGCUUUUGACUGUGAAUGUUUCUUGAGAUUCGGGAGAAAAAUUUUGGGGUUAAAACUGUCGACUGCAAUUGCGUCCAAAGUUAGUGAAGACUCGAAAGUAAAUUAUAAUGAUGCAUGAGUAAAUAUUUCUUUAAAUUUAUAAGAGAAAUGUGGGGAUGCAUGAUAACGACAGCUUUCAUAUAUAUUUAGGAAUUUAUGUUAUUUUGAUUAAAGAGUCUUUUAUAUAUUAUUCAAA